CCUACGGGAGGCAGCAGUGAGGAAUAUUGGUCAAUGGCCGUAAGGCUGAACCAGCCAAGUCGCGUGAAGGAAGGAGGCUCUAUGGGUUGUAAACUUCUUUUAUAGGGGAAUCAAGGUCUCCACGUGUGGAUCUUUGCAUGUACCCUUUGAUUAAGCAUCGGCUAACGCCGUGCCAGCAGCCGCGGUAAUACGGAGGAUCCGAGCGUUAUCCGGAUUUAUUGGGUUUAAAGGGUGCGUAGGUUGUUUUUUAAGUCAGCGGUGAAAGUUUGUGGCGCAACCAGAAAAUUGCCGUUGAAACUGGAAGACUUGAGUGUGUUUGAGGUAGGCGGAAUGCGUGGUGUAGCGGUGAAAUGCAUAGAUAUCACGCAGAACUCCGAUUGCGAAGGCAGCUUACUAAGCCAUAACUGACACUGAAGCACGAAAGCGUGGGGAUCAAACAGGAUUAGAUACCCUUGUAGUC
rnacentral:rRNA from 1 species